GACGAACGCUGGCGGCGUGCUUAACACAUGCAAGUCGAACGGUGAAAGCGGAGCUUGCUCCGCUGGAUCAGUGGCGAACGGGUGAGUAACACGUGGGCAACCUGCCCCUCACUUCGGGAUAACUCCGGGAAACCGGGGCUAAUACCGGAUAUGACCUCCUUGGGCAUCCUUGGAGGUGGAAAGUUUUUCGGUGAGGGAUGGGCGCGCGGCCUAUCAGCUUGUUGGUGAGGGAGUGGCUCACCAAGGCGACGACGGGUAGCCGGCCUGAGAGGGCGACCGGCCACACUGGGACUGAGACACGGCCCAGGCUCCUACGGGAGGCAGCAGUGGGGAAUAUUGCGCAAUGGGCGAAAGCCUGACGCAGCAACGCCGCGUGCGGGAUGACGGCCUUCGGGUUGUAAACCGCUUUCAGCAGGGAAGAAGCCGCAAGGUGACGGUACCUGCAGAAGAAGCACCGGCUAACUACGUGCCAGCCGCCGCCGUAA
rnacentral:rRNA from 1 species